AUGAACGCUGGCGGCGUGCCUAAUACAUGCAAGUCGAGCGAACAGACGAGGAGCUUGCUCCUCUGACGUUAGCGGCGGACGGGUGAGUAACACGUGGAUAACCUACCUAUAAGACUGGGAUAACUUCGGGAAACCGGAGCUAAUACCGGAUAAUAUAUUGAACCGCAUGGUUCAAUAGUGAAAUACGGUUUUGCUGUCACUAAUAGAUGGAUCCGCGCCGCAUUAGCUAGUUGGUAAGGUAACGGCUUACCAAGGCGACGAUGCGUAGCCGACCUGAGAGGGUGAUCGGCCACACUGGAACUGAGACACGGUCCAGACUCCUACGGGAGGCAGCAGUAGGGAAUCUUCCGCAAUGGGCGAAAGCCUGACGGAGCAACGCCGCGUGAGUGAUGAAGGUCUUCGGAUCGUAAAACUCUGUUAUUAGGGAAGAACAAAUGUGUAAGUAACUAUGCACGUCUUGACGGUACCUAAUCAGAAAGCCACGGCUAACUACGUG
rnacentral:rRNA from 1 species